rnacentral:rRNA from 1 species
GGUCGGUUUGGCCGGAUUUCACACAGGUGUUGCAUGGCUGUCGUCAGCUCGUGUCGUGAGAUGUUGGGUUAAGUCCCGCAACGAGCGCAACCCUCAUCCUUAGUUGCCAUCAGGUUAUGCUGGGGACUUUAAGGAAACUGUCAGUGAUAAACUGGAGGAAGGUGGGGAUGAUGUCAAGUCAUCAUGGCCCUUAUGGAGUGGGCUACACACGUGCUACAAUGGUGAUUACAAUGGGCUGCAAGGUCGCAGGGCUGAGCUAAUCCUAAAAAAUCAUCUCAGUUCGGAUUGUUCUCUGCAACUCGAGAGCAUGAAGUUGGAAUCGCUAGUAAUCGUGGAUCAGCAUGCCACGGUGGAUACGUUCUCGGGUCUUGUACACACUGCCCGUCACGCCAUGGUAAUUGGUUUCACUCGAAGCU